GGGCCUAUAGCUCAGUUGGUUAGAGCGCCGGACUCAUAAUCCGUUGGUCCCAGGUUCGAGUCCUGGUGGGCCCACCA
rnacentral:tRNA from 1 species